CGCCUGGCUGGCGCAGGACGCCGACGGCUGGCAGCUGUCGCACCUGUGCGUGCGCAAGCUCACCCGCGGCCGCGGCGUGGCCGCCCGCC
rnacentral:tRNA from 1 species